rnacentral:tRNA from 1 species
AAUUUUCUAGUCUAAAAAAGACGCUUAUUUUGAAAAUAAGAAAUUAGUAAUUUUACUAGAAAAUUU